UACUUUUGGAACCGGGCUCCAGAAGUCUUGCCAAGGGGCGCAGGUUUUGAGCGUUAAAGGUGAAGCUGAGUUUAUUUCCAUCCAAAGCAAAGAGUUGUGUUUCCUCCUUUCUUUCUGUCUAUAAAACGUUGUCUCCUAACCAUAUCGUGUUCACACCCGGGCUCUGGCUCUGCUCCCUACUUCACGGAGGUGAGGUCUCUCAAUUCAGGGACGCUGUGUGGCUGUGUGUGUGUAGAUGUGUGGGUGCGUGAGUGGGGGACGCAGAAGUGCUUUUGGAGACACUGGGGCUCUGUUUGCCCAUCCAUUCCAGAAAUCAGCGGAGGGACGGCUCCUCUCAAGGGCAGAGUGCCAGGACUGUGGAAAUGUAAUCAACACACUUCUGCAUGUUUCCACACUGCCUUGAAUGGGAUCGCAGACUCCAGGAAACUCAUCUCUGAUAAAUUGCAAAAGACCCAGACUAAAUGGACCGAAGAGGUGGUCAUUAUUCUUAAGGGAGGGACCUCACUGUAAUACAGGAUAAAGCGUUAUCUGCCAUUAUUUUUUAAGGCUGUGUUGGAAAUCCGAUAUUUUCAUCCCACCUCCAGCUACCAGGCCUUUUGUUUACUCCCAUUUCCAUCCCGUAACACUGGCUGCCAGCAUCUCCCUCCCCUUCCUCCACUUUGCUCUGCACCCGUGUCCCUGCACCCUUUUCCCCAUAUACACAGAAGGUAGACCCAGUACGUGGCCAUCUCCGCCACCUGGGGAGAAAGAGGAGGCCCAGAACCAUUCCUGGCUUCCACUGAAGGAUGUUUUGUUUAGGCCCCCUCGGAGUGGCUUCUCUGGUUGUCCGUGCAUAGUGGCACGGUGGCAUGGAGUGAGGAUUAAGUGUGAUUGCCUCUGUGAACCGAAAGGACUAGAACCGAUCUGCCUUCACCCAACAUCCGGCACAAAACUGCCUGUGAAUGAGACAGUCUAAGGGGACAGAGCUACCUGGGCCUUCAAGACAUCCAGGUCUCAGGGCCAUUAGGAAAGCCUGCUGUUUUCCCAGGGAGCUGCCCCUCAAAAUUGAGAGUUUUGUAAAACAUUGUUCGUCUAGAUGCUGCGAACUAUCCUUCUGUGGACUGGAAAUCUGGUAUUUUCGGGGAAUUCUCUCUCUGUCUCUGUCUCUGUCUCUCUGUCUCUCUCUCUUCCGGCCUUCCUCCCUCAGACACACUCACACUCUCUUUCAGAAACAAAAAGUCAGAUACGUUCAUUACAGAAUUCAAAUUUAAGAUCUAGAGGAUUUUAGAGACCAGGGCUGCCAGAUAAAAUACAAAAACACCCAGCUAAAUUUGAAUUUCAGAAAAACAAUGAAUAGUUUAAGAACAGUAUACGAAAUAUCCCAAAUAGCUCUGGGGACAUGCUUCUACUGAGAAAUAUCCAUGGUUCAUCUGAUAUUCAAAUUUAUCUAGAUGCCUGUGAUUUUUGGUUUUGUUUUUACCAAAUCUGGCCAGCUACUGGAGACCCGUUAGUGCACGUAAAGGCAGUAAACUGAGAUCAAAAGACACAAAGUAAUAUGCCCGGUUACAGAGCUGGUUAGAGGCAGAACCAGAGCCAGAAACCAGGUCUAGAAAUUCAGUUUAGGUCCUCUUAAUCAACCACACUACCUUUUCUUCCCCCAGGAUAGCCGACUGGGGGCAUAGAUACCAAGUGAGCUCGUGUAAUAAAAUCAGUCCUUUAUAUAAUCAUUUCACGGUGACGGUGCAUGCUUCAAAGGACCAUAAAGUAAAAUGCCACUCAUUUGGAAAUGCCACUAGUUUAUAAUUUGUGAAGUUUCCUGCCCAAGUGAAUCUUUACAUAGCAAACCCUUCCUUGCUGGAGAGUCUAGCACUUUUCUUUUUCUAGACCGUUGUUCAUGAUGGCUUCGAGGACUUUGCUCCACCAAUUUCAAACACGAAAGCACCCCCUUACAAGCAAACAGCCAUGUGACAACAGUUGACCCUUGAACAACAGGGGCUUGGAAUGCACAAGUCCACUUGUGUGAGGAUUUUUUGCAGUAUAGGACUGUAAGUGUAUUUUCUUUUCCUUAUGAUUCUCUUAAUAACAUUUCCUUUUCACUAGUUUACUUCAGGGACACAGUCUAUGAUAGAUGUAACUACAAAAUAUGUGUUAAUCAGCUGCCUAUAUCAUCAGUAAAGUUUCCAGUUAAAAGUAGGCUAUUAGUAGUUAAGUUUGGGGGGGGGGGUUAAAAAUUAUACGCAGAUUUUCGACCGUGGAGGGGGUUGGUGCCCCUAACUCCCACAUCGUUCAAAAGUCAACCAUAUCCCUCUCCCCUGGCCUUAAAACAAUAGUUCUAGGGGCGCCUGGGUGGCUCAGUUGGUUAAGUAUCUGACUUCAGCUCAGGCCAUGAUCGCACGGUCCGUGAGUUCGAGCCCCGCGUGGGGCUCUGUGCUGACAGCUCAGAGCCUGGAACCUACUUCAGAUUCUGUGUCUUCCUCUCUCCCUCCCCCUCCCCCACUCACACUCUGUCUCUCUCUCUCUCUCUCUCUCUCUCUCUCUCAAAAUUAAUAAAUAAUUUUUAAAAAUUUAAAAACCAAACAAUAGUUCUAAAGCCAGUAGUGUAGACAGAGUACUGUUUAUCUGGAUUAAAAGGCUAAACAGAUCAUCUUCCAACGUUCUAAUUGUUAUCGUACACUUAAAUUAGUUUUCAUGGCAAAACAGUUAUCGUGUCUCAUGGAAAACCUCAGGGCACCACGGGAGGGGCUUUAUUUGGGGGCGGGGUUGUGAAGACGUCAGCCCAGCCAUGCGCCGGGUCGCCUCUCAGCCUCCCUUUCCUUACUUUUGAACUAAGGGUUCAAUUCGUCAUAAUGCCUAAGAUCCACUGUGGUUCUAAAACACUAGAUUUCUAAAAAUCACUGAGGCGCCGACUCUGUUGAUGCUGCUUUUUAAGUCCCAGUUGGCAAGUAGAAGCCGGAGUCGUCUGGAAGUCUUUUGGAAGUGCCCGGUGCCCGGAACAGUGCUGGCGACUGACUGUGCGCGCCCCCCUGCCCAAGCAAUCUGGCUCCCCGAACCAAAUUAUAAAAGCUCACACUGAGGAAGGCAAGGAAGAGGUGUUAAUGAAACUAGCUGUAAUGCAAAGAAAGGUCAGCUUUAGCUGCAAGCCCUGAAAUGAAACAAUAUAAUUGCAAACUCGAAGAGGGCCCUAGGUGAGACAGGGACUGUGUCCACACCGCGUCCUCCCAGCCAAGCCCAAUCCCCACCUGAGCAACGGCCCCCAGGGGGGCUCUAACUGGGCCACAGCAGCGAGAAGUCACCGUUUGAAGGAUGCGGACCUUUUACAAUUAGAUCCAAAUGCCCAGCCUAACGAUGGAGCCCCGUGAGCACCGCGCAUACGCAUUACGGUUGGCGAGGAAAGCCCGAAGUACAACGUGAAGAAGUGAUCUGGCCGAAGAUGGCAAAAAUCCUCGUCUGUCUGGGAACUCUCAUUUCACGCUUGGAGCUCCCAGUUCUCUAACGAAUGUAACAUCAGAGUAGAUGAGGCCGGGUGGGGACAGAAGAGUGAGGUUUUCUUUCCCUCCCUCUCUUCCUUCCUUCCUCUUUGGACUUUUUUUUUUUUUUUUUUUUUAACCUUAUAAUGGCUCCUGCAGAGAGGCCAUGCAGCAAGGCUGAGGGGGGGACCCAGAGCCGAGAUGCUGGAGGGCCUCGAGCUGCCGUCAACCUGUGGCCUUGAGCCUUCUCUGCCUGCUGGGUCUGCUCCUGCAAAGAGGAGGAGUAGUGACAGGGCUGUGACUCCCCAAGACGGGUGGGUAAAUUCUUUUGAAACCAUAAAACCCUCAAGUACUUUGUCCAUUUCUUGAACGGGGCCAACUCAGGGACCAAGCUCGGAAAUGCUACACGGAUUAUUUCCACUGAAAUGUUUUCCUGUGGCUCGGCGUCAUCUUGGACCAUCCCCGGGGCUUUCGUUCUCAAGUACGUGCCACGGUUUUGCGAACUUCUUUUUUUUUCAGAUGGAGAAUGUGCUCCUGGGACUCCAUUAGGCGAGUCUAGGUUUAGCCAAGAACCCAGGCAUGACCUGCUGGGAAUAAUGUUAACUGUGUAAUGACUAAAGAAUUAAGCCCCCUUGAGAAGAAAUCAGUGACUUUGAAAACUUGACCAGGCCCUUAGGACUAUGCCCCUUCCUAAAGAGUAGACAACACCCAGAUUUGUUGCUAGUGGUUGUGACGAGCAAGAAAUUUGGGUAUUUUGCCUGCAACCCUCAUCAAAAGGUACUCUUAUCCCCAUGCUAUAGACGAGUAAAGGCUAAGGCUGAGAGAGGUUUAUUAACUCAGAUAACAUCACUGCUAUUCCUUAGUAGAGACAGGACUAGAAACGAAGUUCCAUCGACUCUAAAAAGUCCAUGUUUGCAAUGACUUCUGAUAGUAAUAGACGGCUUUAAUUGAUCACCUACUACAUACUGGAUACUGUUAUGAGCACUCUACGCAUAUUACCUCAGUAAACUCCUACAGCAACUGGGUGAGGCAGGUACUCCGGGUUUUUUGUUUUUAAGUUUACUUACUUCUUUGAGAAAGAGAGAGAGAGAGAGAGGGAGUGAACAUGCAAGCAGAGGAGGGGCAGAGAGAGGGAGAGAGAGAAUCCAGUACAGAGCCCAAUAUGGGGCUCCAUCCCAGGACCCUGGGAUCAGGACUUGAGCGGAAAUCAGAAGUCGGGUGCUCCACCGACUGAGCUAAGGUGCUCCAAGGUGGCUGCUACUAUGAAGCUCAUUUUGUGGAUGAGGAAUGUGAAAGACGGAGACAAGGUGACGGGCUGGAGACUUCAGCCACCAACCCCUCCGGGUCAGUGGAGGCUGCCGGCUUCCCUUCUAGUCAAAUUUCCAGUAAAGCCUCAUGUAAAAUGCGAAAGAUAAAAUGGAACAACCAACAACAACAGAGAGCAACGUCCUCCCAACCCCCAACUAGAUGGCUGUGUAUACCUUCUUCACCUCCAGGCAGAGGUUCUGUCCUCCACUUCCUUGUGCAUAAAAAUACGAUCUGGUGGGGCGCCCGGGGGGCUCAGUCGGUUAAGCAUCAGACUUUGGCUCAGGUCACCAUCUUGAAGUUGCGUUCAAGCCCCACGUCAGGCUCUCUGCUGUCAGCACAGUGCCCGCUUUGGAUCCUCUCUCCCCGUCUCUUUGCCCCUCCCCCCGCUAGCUCUCCCUCUCUUUCAAAAAUAAAUAAACAUGAAAAAACAGUAAGACGUGGUGGGGCAAGGGGUACCCUUAGGUUCACCUGGGUUCCUCCUGUUCCCUAUGGUGAUAGGCAGUGGAAAGUUGGUUCUUUAAAUAAUUGCACGAUCUCUUUCUCUACACACGCGCGGGCGCGUGCACACACGCACACACACACACACACACACGCUUUCCCCUCUGAUCUGAAAAUCCUGAAUCCAAGUUUUGGAACUUUCCUUUGACUCCUUAGUUCAGCACAGCUCUCCAGCUGAGGCCACAGAUACCCCAGUACCGUUGGCUGCCGUGAGGUGGGGUCUCAGCUCCAAACCCGCGGCAUUAACCCAGAGGCCCGCCAGCCCCCUUUCUGCCUGAUAAGAGUACAACCGGAAGGAAGCUGGCGGUUUUAUUUCCCUCAGUAAACCUAUUCUGCUGAAUGUAAACACUGUAUAAUAUUCCACCUGUAGGUUCUGUAAUUAAGGUGCAUCGGAGCCACCAUCAACACAGUGACAGGCAGAGGGAAAAUUAGUGACCUCCCACGGAUUUUUCAAGUCGGUCCAUUUACUACUGUGAAAAUCACCACGUCAUUAGCAGAGGGGUUUUUAGAACAAUUUUACAUGAAGGAAGCCUGCUCCUUACAGCUCUUUGUCCGUGAACCUCCUUGCCCCCUCUCUGUCUGGCUUUAGGUGAAGCUCCCCCCAUCGGCACCUCCUCCUUGGAGCCUCCGUUGCCUGGGGCNNNNNGGGGGGGGGUGCAGUUUUGGAAGGAGGUGAAGUUUUCCAUCCGGAGUGGGAGGAACAAAUGGCCUCUCCACAGGAGACUGAGGUCCGGCAGAGAGGGUCCUGGGACGCCACCACCAGCACCUUCCCUUGUGUUUGUGGAGCUAUCGGGUGACAGUUAACAUGCCUCGCUGGGCUCCCGUGUUGCCUGAGAGAGCUCACGCUCUGACACAAAAUUAAUCUCCAUGGACGCCACUCGGGAGAUUGAUAGCUGUGGGCCGGGGAUUCUGCACACCGUCUUCCAGAUGCCAGGCUUGUCAGCUGCGGGCCUGGGAGGGACACAGGCCCCUUCUCUCCGCCCGGCCGGUCCAGCCGCAGUGCUUUCCAUCACUCCCAGCCAUGCCUCUGCCACCAGGGAACUGGAGGCACUGCUCGGGAUGAGUUGGAGAAGGCGAGGCACGCCCUGACAUCCUUUUCCAUCUAUUGACCGAAUGCUCCCUGCGGCCAGGACAAGGGGAUCCGUUCCCUCACCGGAUGGAAGGCCGGCAGGGCAGAGGCAAAAUGCACAGCCUUUUGAGUCCCACCCAGCUGGGUUCUGCUUCUUGCUCCGUCACUCCCUUCCUGGGCCUCUGGGUGCCGCAGUUUCCUCAUCUGUAAAAUGGGGCUCACCGCAGCUCGCGUCACUUCGGACGGGUGUGCAAAACCGAAAGGGGUGACCCAUGACGUGACUGCCCAGUGCACAGCACCUCAUAAACCAGGAGCUGGGGAAAUUUGUUUCGGGAAAAGGCCAGACAGAAACGAUUUUAGGCUUUGUGGGCUGUAAGGUCUCUGUCACAACUGCUGAACUCCGCUCCUGUAGUCUGGAAACAGCCAUAGGCCAUAUGUAAAUGAACGAGCGUGGCUGUGUCCCGAUAAAACUUUAUUGACAAGAACAGGUAACGGGCCAGAUAUGACCCUCAGAUCCUAGUAUGCGGAUCCCUGUUAAUUUGAAAUCUGAAUAAAUGUCAGCGGCUAUCCCUACGGAUAACAAUACCUGACUGACCAAGCGAUUCUGUGCAAGGAGUUGCUGGUGAAUGAAGAGGCCAUGGUCCAUCUUGAAACUUACUAUUGGUCUUAGGGGAGGGGAAGAGAGGGGAGGUACUAACUCACAAAUAUUAAGUGAGGGCUGACUGUGUCCAAGAAGGAGUAUGCGUAAACUGAAAGCUGUUGCACAAAGCCUAAAGCAGUAACUGCCACUGAAUUUUUCAUUUUUAUUUUGUGAAACACCACCCCCACCUCGUGAAAAUAAAUCAAAAAUAUUUUGCAUGAACCUCAAAAUUCUGUCACCUUUGGUGACUUAAGUUUUUUCCAAGAAAAGUAAAGAAAACUAAACCCGCGCGAACAUCACCGCCCCAGACUCUAAACCUGUAGUGUGCUGCUUUAGGUACAAUCAGCAGAGAGAAAAGCCAUUGGAGUUUUGUUUAAAUGCCCAGCCAGUUUGCCCAAGUCAAUACUCAAACAGUCAAAACAGCCAACUUAAUAAUUUUUUUUUUUUUUGAUUGAACAGGCUAGUUAAUUUAACCAGGAACCUCAGUGGGGAGAAGUCAAGGUCUCGGCUGCCAAGAGCAUUAGGAGAGAAGUGAGUAGCAUCUCCACCUUCAAGGUAAAAAUCCAAAGACGUCAUUUAAAAACAUCUUGAGUUUGGGGGGGCCUGGGUGGCUCAGUCGGUUAAGCAUCUGACUUUGGCUCAGGUCAUGAUCUCGCGGUUUGUGAGUUCGAGCCCCGCGUUGGGCUCUGUGCAACAGCUUGGAGCCUGGAUGGAGCCUGCUUUGGAUUCUGUGUCUCCCUCUCUCUCUGCCCCUCCCCUGCUCAUGCUGCCACUCUCUGUCUCUCAAGAAUAAAUAAAUGUUAAAAAAAUUUUUAAAACAUCUUGAGUUUAAGAACAAUGUCAAAGAGUGUUUGAAACAUAUAUACAUAUAUAUAUUCAUAUAUACACAUGCAUAUAUACAUAUACACACACAUAGACACGCACGCACACGCACACACGUGCACAUAUUCAAACUGGUCUCUAAGGUCAAUUAUACAGAGGUAGGCAGAUAACGUAGCUGCUCCUAAUCUGAAGAGGAGGGCGUCUGCUUGGGUGGUAGGCAAAACUGACGUCUUCUAUAUUAUAGACCAUGUACAUGUUCAUUCACUCACUUAACUCUACAAACAUCAUUGAGAAUGCACUCCGUGCAUUGUGUGGAGCUGGGCAUUAAGGGAUACCAAAAUGAGUGAAUCAUGGAAUUUAAGCUAUUACAGGGUGCUCACACUGAGUGUGAUGGAGAAAGUAACACAGCCGACCAGGAGGAGGUCCGUAAGGAUCUGCGUGUUAAUUCCUUCCUCUGACAGAUGCAGGUCAAAAUUUAGUUUUAACAAGGGUGAGAUCCCUCUUCUAAUAAAGGAUAACAUUAGAAUGGGAAAAAGGAGCCUGUGUCUCUACCUGUGUCUGAUGGCACUCUCUAGAAUGGUGACAUCAACUGCCUCUUCAAUCGCGCCCUGGGGAGAGACUCACCUGUUCCUACACCCCCUUUCUCUAUGAGUCACUGCCAUUCCCACCACAGCCCCUGGGCUAUUCCAAUGAGAAAAGUUGUUGGGAUGGGCGCUUCUUGCCUGCCUUGCCUAUUUGUUUUCUUUGUUCUUUUUCACCUCUAAGGGAUUUGUUUCCCUCUGCUUUUCCCCUACCAACACAAUGUUAAGGUCCAGCCACUCCCCACUUCUCUUCACCCCCAAGAUCCCCGGGAGCCGUAACUGGUUCACAAAGAUAACUUAGGUUUCACACGCUGUCAAACCUCCCUCCCCUCCUGAUGUUUGACUUUGUCCCGGAUCUGAAGAUCACAUGGUAAUUCAGCACAAUUCUACCAUAUGCUGGCUCCCAGGGUGUGAAGGGCUUGGGGCUCCUGAGUUCUGAGCCCCAGCCCAAAGUUGGCGCUCAUUUUCAAAGGCAAUCACAAGAUGAAUAUCAAAGAGUUUACAGAAUCCACAUUGGGAAACCUGUCAGAAAAUUGUUGGGAAAAUAAAGUGAAUCAAUAGAAUGUCAAGAGACUCAAAUGGACAAAAUAUUGAAUAUUCAUUUUCUCAAGUUUCACAGGGGUAGGGAUUUACGAGGACCAAGGCAGCUUGUGGGAUUUUCGGCUUUCCUUGGCAUGGUUCAAAUAAUUUUUUGUGCUGUGCAUUGGAUUAGUAUUCAAUUAACUCCUUUAAAAUUAUAAUGUGUAACUUCAACAAACUUGCGAACGGGUCUACAGCACAAUUAGAGCAGUUAAUAGUCACCAGGUACAACAAACGAAUGCUGUAUUUGUAUAAACAGAGAAUGUCUAAAACAAAUUCAGUGAUGGUGUUUGCCAUUGGCAUAGCUAAGCCACGUUCGGGACCAGCGAUACCUAUAAACACUGGAGAAAAAUUACAAAGGGUUCCUUUUGUCUCGUGUAUAUAUAUAUAUAUGUAUACAUAUAUAUAUAUAUAGGACACAGAAUGCAUGCAGAAAUUGUUUAUUUCCGAUAUGGUUACAUUUCCCCCAAAUCCAACAUGCUAACAUCUGCACAGUUUGUUACCUGGGCUGCAAACGCGUCACUAUGGCUGCCAAAAUGUUUUAAACAUCAUCCCUCCAUUGCUUUUACAGGAGCCAUUUUUGAAGGAAACAAAAGAUGAUUGUAUCAAUACUGUGUAGAUAUCAGCUUUAGACUGGAAAAAAGAAAUCACUUGGUGAUUUCACAUAUUCAGGCCUCCGCCCUCAACCAGAGAAACAGCAUGAGCAGGAAGAGCCCUUGUAAGACUGGGAAUUUCAGAGGAAAGCCAGGGGCCAUCUUGGUUGUUGGGUCCUCGUGCUGUUCAUGUGUAAAAAAUGUACUGGAAUUUCAUUAUUGUGGUAGGAUCAAGACUGCCACUUUCUGUACGUGUCUUAGUUUCCUUAUGCAAAACAAAUAAAAUUCAUUUCAAGAACUUUAAGCCUUUGAUUUAAUGCUAAAUCAGAGACUAACUCCCUGGUUGAGGGAUUCGGCACCUUAAACUGAUCUACUCUAAAAUGACUAUGAAAAAGGGACUUUAAAUCUGAAGGUUGUAACCUCAGUAUUUGUAUUUCCAAUCAACUAUUACUUGAGGCUAUUUGUGACUUUUAAUAAUAGAUUUGGGCCGUAGGAUAUGACAAUAUUCCAUGUGCCACAUCUUUAUCUAUAUCUUGAAAGGUUUUCUCCUCCGUUUGCCAACGCAAAGUGCCUUACCCACUCCUCUCCACACACAUCCAGACAAUUAUGAAAGGAUCAUGUAACAAGUUAAAUAGAUUAACUACUUUCGAUAGUUUGUGGAAGAAAUGCUACGUCUCUUUUCCGCAAGGCUGUAAAACUUUCUCACCAUUCUUAAGUAACCGCAGAAAUAAUAAAAGCUAAAAAAGAAAAAAAAUUAAUUUAAUUUUUUAUUAUAUAUAUUUAUAUAUAUUAAUUUAUAUUAAUUUAUAUAUAUAUAAUUUAAUUAAUGCAAUUUAAUUUUUUUUUUUGAACGAGUUCUCCUCUAGCCUUAGAAGAUUAGUUUUCAAAGCAAUGGUAAAAUCAUUGAUGUACCUCUUUUCAAGUCAAAAGAAAAAAAGACUCCUCACUACCAAACAUUUGCUCUUCGGAGCCUGGCAAGAAGGACGAAAGAGGACCAGACGGCCACAUCCUAAGAACAAAGUAUUGUCCAGGUAGCGGUUGGCUACAAUCGCAUCUCUUUCCACGUCUUUUUAGUAGUUAAAGUUUUUCUUUCCGAAAUGAAACUUCAUUUUCUUUCCCUAA
rnacentral:lncRNA from 1 species